AAUAAACCAAGUGCAUAGGUGUGCCAGUGGCCCCCAACUCAUAGACAUCAUUAUUCAGAUUAACAAACGCCAAGAACAAAAAUAAGUCACAAUAUUUACCAGAAAUUAUGAAGUCAUCUUUACCCCAAUACUUUCACUCAUAGGGUUAAGGCAUUUAAUACAGACUGAACACCUGAACAUUAGUAUGUGCAUGGAGAAAAAAUAAUUAAAGAAUGUGCACCUAAAUCUAACCAAUAUUUUCUCUGGAGAGUGGCUUUUGAGUAGAAAGUUGCAUUCUAUGCUACCUAUCUGUAACAUUUAUUUGUUUGCAAUAUUUACAUUAUGUUAAUAAUUAAAAAUAUAUAUACUAGGUCCCAUGUCCAGUGAGAAUAUUCACAUAUUCAGUAGUUGGGGAACAGUACACUGUUUCUGUUUUACUUAUCCCCAUGAGUGAUUAUAAUUCUAACAGUCCCAAUUGGGGAAGUUAAAUGUCCACUGAGUGUUCAGAAUUCUCAGGUAAAAAAGCCACUGCAAGUGAACACCCAGGACUUACAGAGCUUGAUAGUUUCUAAUUCAAGACGUAGACAGAACAAGAAUGCUGCUCUGGAUGUCCAAUUUGGAGAUUUCUAAAAGGAAAAAGACGCAGAUUAAAAAUUAUGCUGGAGAAUAAAAGUGAUUAAAAGGUAUCAUUCAAAAGAAAUUGUUUUUCCUUGAAUCACAGACAUUGUAUUUAUCUAAGGAUAAACUAGGUUCAAAGCCUGUUUCUAAUUCAGCUGCUCCAGGAAACUAAAACUGAUUCCAAAAGGAAACAAAAAUCAAAGUAUGAGGCCAACUUCAUGUAUUCAAUGGAAAACAAACUAAAUGAGAGCCUGUGUAUUUCCAUGAGCCUGGGGAACCC
rnacentral:lncRNA from 1 species